AAUAGAUACCCAGGUAGUCCACGCCGUAAACGAUGAGUGCUAAGUGUUGGGGGGUUUCCGCCCCUCAGUGCUGCAGCUAACGCAUUAAGCACUCCGCCUGGGGAGUACGGUCGCAAGACUGAAACUCAAAGGAAUUGACGGGGGCCCGCACAAGCGGUGGAGCAUGUGGUUUAAUUCGAAGCAACGCGAAGAACCUUACCAGGUCUUGACAUCCCGGUGACCACUAUGGAGACAUAGUUUCCCCUUCGGGGGCAACGGUGACAGGUGGUGCAUGGUUGUCGUCAGCUCGUGUCGUGAGAUGUUGGGUUAAGUCCCGCAACGAGCGCAACCCUUAUUCUUAGUUGCCAUCAUUCAGUUGGGCACUCUAAGGAGACUGCCGGUGAUAAACCGGAGGAAGGUGGGGAUGACGUCAAAUCAUCAUGCCCCUUAUGACCUGGGCUACACACGUGCUACAAUGGACAGUACAAACGGUUGCCAACCCGCGAGGGGGAGCUAAUCCGAUAAAACCGUUCUCAGUUCGGAUUGUAGGCUGCAACUCGCCUAC
rnacentral:rRNA from 1 species